GGAAUAUUGGACAAUGGGCGCAAGCCUGAUCCAGCCAUGCCGCGUGUGUGAAGAAGGCCUUCGGGUUGUAAAGCACUUUUGUACGGGAAGAAAAGCACUCGGUUAAUACCCGGGAUGAUAAUGACAGUACCGGGAGAAUAAGCCCCGGCUAACUCCGUGCCAGCAGCCGCGGUAAUACGGAGGGGGCUAGCGUUGUUCGGAAUUACUGGGCGUAAAGCGCACGUAGGCGGCUUUGUAAGUUAGAGGUGAAAGCCCGGAGCUCAACUCCGGAAUUGCCUUUAAGACUGCAUCGCUUGAAUCAUGGAGAGGUGAGUGGAAUUCCGAGUGUAGAGGUGAAAUUCGUAGAUAUUCGGAAGAACACCAGUGGCGAAGGCGACUCACUGGACAUGUAUUGACGCUGAGGUGCGAAAGCGUGGGGAGCAAA
rnacentral:rRNA from 1 species